rnacentral:lncRNA from 1 species
AAUUAUUCAACUACCUUGUAAAUUAUUUACAUAUGAAGAAAUUAUUUCAAAAACCUAUUCCCAUCAAAUGGGUGCUUAUUAUUUUUUUUCUCUUUUCUUAUGCUGCCAGAGUUUACAAAUCAGAACUGAUUGGAUGACAAAUAAACAUUUCCUGCUAAAUGGUUAGAAUUAAGAUUUGCAAAUGAUUCUCAAAAACUUUUACUAACCAAAACUUACAACACAGUCCUCUUCCCAAAGACAGUAUUUCACAUCUCUCUUACUACGACGACGUGCUACAGCAAAGGUCUACCAGCUUUUCUACUUAUUUUCAAGGCUGAAAGUUUAAAAAGGAGGUCAGAGAAAACAUUCAAGAAAAUUUCAAUGAUAAUAAAAGUUUUAUUGAAGAACUGA